UGGGGAAUUUUGCACAAUGGGGGCAACCCUGAUGCAGCGACGCCGCGUGAUUUAGAAGGCCUUCGGGUUGUAAAAAUCUUUUGUAUGGGAAGAAAAUGACAGUACCAUACGAAUAAGGACCGGCUAAUUACGUGCCAGCAGCCGCGGUAAUACGUAAGGUCCGAGCGUUGUCCGGAAUCAUUGGGCGUAAAGGGUACGUAGGCGGAUAAGCAAGUUAGAAGUGAAAUCCUAUAGCUCAACUAUAGUAAGCUUUUAAAACUGCUCAUCUUGAGGUAUGGAAGGGAAAGUGGAAUUCCUAGUGUAGCGGUGAAAUGCGCAGAUAUAAGGAGGAAUACAGGUGGCGAAGGCGACUUUCUGGCCAUAACCUGACGCUGAGAUACGAAAGCGUGGGUAGCAAACAGG
rnacentral:rRNA from 1 species